GUACUCUCACACUUUGGAUCCUUUGGAUUUGGAGCGGUGGACUUGGGUGUUGCUGCUUUGCGGCGGCUCACCCCAAAUGCAUGCGUGCAACUCCUGGUUGGACAUAGUACGGCGUGAUAAGUGUCUUCGCCGGCGCCUCAUAAGAGGGUGGCCAACUGGGGCUCUGUGCUUUCAAACCGUCUUCGGACAAUAUCUGACA
rnacentral:misc_RNA from 1 species